rnacentral:lncRNA from 1 species
AAAGUAUUUACCAUCCUGCCUUAAAUAACUACGAAACUGGACAGGAUACAUGAACCAGGAGUUUUCAGAUGCUGGACACCAGCCAGUGCCAACAGGGCAGGACAGUGAAUCUGGAAGAGAAAUGAACGAGUGCCUCUGCAGAGGUUUCCGGACCUCCAGCACAGAGACCAGGGGCUGAGCUACAGAGUUCUGAGUCCAGGGCGGACAGAGCAAGAAGACAAGAUGCCCAGGGGGACAGCGUAGGGGAUCUGGAGCGGGUACCCUGGAAAUUUUGGCUGAGCUCUGAUCUACACACACCGUGGAGAGAACCACUGGACAAGGGCAGGUGGGACAGCUCCCGGGCUCACGCAGGGCAGGGUUUCUGUCCCCACCAGCCAGGGUGGAAAGGCCUCCUAAUGCAUGGGACAUCAGGUAGGAUCCUUGGAAGGCCACUGCCUGAUGGAAAAAGCAGUAAUACAACCCAGAACCAGGAAAAAUCCAUCACUAGAAACAACCCAAAAUGAAAGGGGUGAUGGGACCAGCAGAUACAUUAACAGAGUUAUUUCAAAUACACUCCACAUGUUCCGGAAGGUAUAGAAGAGCAAGAAUAUGAUAAAAGAGGAGGAUCUAAAAAAGACCCAAGUAAAACUCUAAAAGACAGAACAUACCAUGCUGGGAAUACAAAUGCGGGAGACAGAUUAACAGUGGGUUAGAAGUUGAGGAGAAAGUAUCAGUGAGCCUGAGACGUGCCAGCGUGACCUCUCCUGAGUGGCCCAGUGUUAAAGCAGUUAGUCUCAGGAAGAGCAAGGAGAAGGCCCACUUGAAGGAGAUGGAUGGUGAUUUUCCAAACUUAAUGAGAACCAUGAGCUCAUAGACUACCUACCGCUGGGCACCCCCCACCUAUCCCAGUGCCCAACCGGCUUCAUCCAGAAGGACCCAGGGAGCCACACUAGGCACACCAUCACCAAAUGUGCCUGAAAAGAAACCAGGAGAAGGAAACAUCGAACACAA